ACGGAGGGUGCGAGCGUUAAUCGGAAUUACUGGGCGUAAAGCGUGCGUAGGCGGUUCGGUAAGUCAGGUGUGAAAUCCCCGGGCUUAACCUGGGAAUGGCGUUUGAUACUGGCGGGCUGGAGUACGGCAGAGGGGGGUGGAAUUCCAGGUGUAGCAGUGAAAUGCGUAGAUAUGUGGAGGAACACCGAUGGCGAAGGCAGC
rnacentral:rRNA from 1 species